rnacentral:rRNA from 1 species
CAAUAGCGUAUAUUAAAGUUGUUGCAGUUAAAAAGCUCGUAGUUGGAUUUGUGGCGUACGAUGUGUUCCCGGCACUUGUUGUCGGUGUUUUAUGUCGUUGCCAUCCUUGGGUGGAAUCUGUGUGGCAUUAGGUUGUCGUGCAGGGGAUGCCCAUCGUUUACUGUGAAAAAUUAGAGUGUUCAAAGCAGGCUUAUGCCGUUGAAUAUAUUAGCAUGGAAUAAUGAGAUAGGACCUUGGUACUAUUUUGUUGGUUUGCGCACCGAGGUAAUGAUUAAUAGGGACAGUUGGGGGUAUUCGUAUUCCAUUGUCAGAGGUGAAAUUCUUGGAUUUUUGGAAGACGAACUACUGCGAAAGCAUUUACCAAGGAUGUUUUCAUUAAUCAAGAACGAAAGUUAGGGGAUCGAAGACGAUCAGAUACCGU